GUAACAGAGGUACUCUAACAAGGAGAUAGAACACUGACGAAUGUCUCCAUAGGAAUAAACGGUGUGAAAUCGUAACGCCAAAACGUCGAAUGCCUGCUUAUCUCCCGCCUACCCGCAACAAGAGCCAAUCGGUUGCUGAGCUGUGCCAUCAUUGAUCCAAUCAUCUCAUCGCAUCGACGCAAGCGCAAAAAUGAGCUUUUACGACGGCUCGUUCCUCAUCAGCUGUUGCCAUGUGUGUGGCCCGUUUUCCGACCGUACCGUAACCAGGUAAUGGGAUCUACCCGCCAGAUGUACAACUGUCUUGGGAAUCCUCAUACAGACUAAAGGUGUUUUGCCCCCGCGGUUGUGAAGAGGAUGCUGUGGAAGUGGCAGCAUGAACGUGUCACACAGACAUUGGCUAAACUGCUCAGCUUCUACACUUGCCCUCAGAGUUCACAUAUGGUUAAGUGCCCAGGUGUCCAGCCAGGUUCAGACUGAUGCUGGUAACAAGAGGAAAACAUGCUGAUUGGUAAGUGAGAUCCCUGCUCAACAAAAUCCACACAGCACAACAAGUAAGCCUAGUUUGUGGUGUCAAAUGUAAAAUGUAAGUUUCAUCAAAAAGUUGUAGAACACAUCUGCAUAAAUUGCAGGCCAUCAAAGUAGUGAAUGGGCAGGGAAAACACAACCAGUAGGCUUAUGAAUGACUUUGACUCAGCACAGCACAGCAGAUGCGAUGCUACCAUUCCUUGGGAAUAUGACACAGAGGCCUGCUACUCCAUUGUAAAUAUUGACUGGAAAUGUUCAUGUUUCAACUGUUUAAAAACAUUGGACUCAGGGGAAAAAAAUCUCUAGGUGUAUAUAAGUGAAAGCCCACCUUUGCCAUUGUGACACAGCACACAAGUAUACACUGUACUCAAUGAAAUUGUAUUUUAUGCCUCACCUGUGCAAGGGUGCAGCCUACAUUGGCAUCCCAAGGGAGCAGUAUGUUGCAGUGUGGCGGGAAGGUACCAUGCUUGGGGUACCUCAGUCAUGGAGGAUGGAGGAGAGAGCACUGGUUAAUUACUCCCUCCACCAACCUGGCGGGCUGGGAGAUGAAACAGCAACCUUUGGGUUGUUCAGCCCUGGGCUACAGGACACCCUAACCGCUUACCAAUGACUGCCCCACUUAUCCAUGACUGUAUAAAAAAUACCACAGCGAGUACACUUUUAAAUUAAAUGGGUCAAUAUAGAUGAUAGACUUUUCAUCCACAGGCAGGACUUAGUCUACAUACAGUAGAUGGUGAAAUCCUGCUUACAAAACUGUUUAAAUAAAUAGUUGUAAACUUUUGACAUGUCAAAGUCAUAGCCUAAACUGUAGGGUAUGUUAUGUAAAGGGUGAUUUUCACAUCCGGCCCAUGUUCACAGAUUUUUUUUUUCUCCUGCAGGAAUGAUUCAACGAUGGACAUUUUGCUUAAUUGUGGAAAAAAUAAAUGGAAAAACUUCUAUGGUUUCUUGUGUUUUCAUUGGUGAGGCAUAUGGGUUAAGCACUGAUCAGGAAGACCUCAAAAAAGGCGGAAUUCCACUGCAGCGGUGAGAACAUUCAGACGUCUUUUUUGUUUAUGGAAAGAGCUGAUUUUCUAGUAUGCUAGGUUCAUAACUGCAACCUAAAAUCAGCUGUUCCUCGAGACGUCAGGAUGCUUUCCUCGCGCAGAUGGGGUACGUCCAGUAGGUCGUAAUUAAAUCGGGUAAAUGUUGGCUGGAUAUAAAGCGGCUAAACGUCGGCGAGAUGCAUGUAAAUAAAUGCAGCGGCAAGAUGUCUUUGAAAUAGCGGCAGCUCAUCGGCCAGAUGCUGGGAGACGUCGAGAUAGCCAAUGCAUCGGUAAAACAUAGGCGUUCCAUCGGACGCCGCACGUCUGCCCAACAUCUUGCCGAUGAGCAAACGUUCUUCUAUAGACGUCUUGCCGAUGUAUUUUACAUCUUGCGACGUUGGCAAGACGUAAGUGUGCUGUCUGGGAAGCGAUGUCUGUCAUCCGACAGCCGAUGGAGGAGAUGUGGAUGGGUCUGGAGUGGAGAGACCCGGCAGAGAUGGUAUCUAGGAGACAACCAACAGACUGGAAAGCAGAACGUCAUGUCGUGAAGUCUUGCACAUGCGCAGUUCAAAAUUAAGCUUGAGAAAAAACGUGUUUUACGGUGUUACAGUCAUACAUACGGUCAUUCUAAGACAGCUGUUUUGAUUCGUUUUUCAUUGCGAUUCCAACCCCGUGAGUUCUGUAUCGAUAAGUUGUCCCACUUUUGAUCUCCCCAUUAACUCCCCAUUCACGAAAGUCUUACUAAUCUGAAUUAGAAGCCCCGACGCGUAGCCAAGAUGGCCGCCGAGUGUUCUAUCUCCCCUUAGC